GGAGGAGGUGCCUAGGGGCUUCGGCUCUGAGGCGCCCACCGAGUACCGCGUGGUACCCGGGGCGCGCCCGGCCUUGCUCCCAACUCCGUUUUCCGGGCAAAAAGCCAUUGUUCUGGCUCUAAGGGAGGGAAGCGGGACGGGGCGCGGCGGCCGCUUCCUGCCCCCGCCUUCGAGGGGCGCUCCUCCGGGGCGCGCGGGGCCCCCACCCUUCCCCGGCUUCUUGAACUGGCUUUUUCUCGGCGGUGGGGGAGUCGCUCUGCUUUGGACUGGAGUAAAACGGGUCGGGGGCUGGGGGAGGAAAGGAAGAUGAAGUCCGGGGGAGGGGCCCACAAACCUCGGCAGCCCAGGCUUUUCCCCUCAAAAGCGAGAGAGGAAAAUGCAUUAACUGAAACCACCAAGCACUCUAAGAAAGAAGUAAUACGAACUGCCCGGAGUUCUUACUAAACAGCUGUGAAAAGUGGAUCCAGUCCCCGAGUUUUAGGGCACGUAAAGGCCUACUGGAGAAAAUACUGAAGUGUAGGAACCGAUCUUUCCAUUUAUGGCGUGUUCUUCAGUUUCUUUGGUUAGGGGCUCCAGUGGAAGCUGAGGUCCCGUGUUUCCUGAUGCCCCCGGGGCCACAGCAAGUUGCAUGGAAGCCACGUGAGGUAAACUCCAACCUGUUGACCAGAGGGGUAGCAAAUGAGUGACCAUACAGGAUCUGGAAGAAUUUGUGGCCACUUUGGGGGUCAUUUGUACCCUCUCCAGAGGGUAAGAUCAGAAAACAGUUUAGCAACCACUGAGCCCAGCACUGCUUGGAUUGUGUUAAAUGAGUGUAAGAGUCUUAAUUUCCUAGACUUGCAGGAUGGGCACUGGCUAGUCCCAUUGUGUAUUUGCUCCGGCUGCCCCCAACAAAGUUCCAUGGCCUGGGAGGCCUGUAGGGGCUCCCAGAAGUUAAUUUUCUCACAAUUCUGGAGACUGGAAGUUUUAGAUCAAGAGGUGGGCAGGGUUGGUUUCUUUUCUCCUUGGCUGUAGAUGGUGUCUUCUCCCUGCAUCCUCAUAGGGCCGUCCCUCUGUGCACAUCUGUGUCCUCAUCUGCUCUUCUUUUUUUUGAGACAGAGUCUUGCUCGGUCGCCUGGGCUGGAGUGCAGUGGUGCGAUC